GACGAACGCUGGCGGCGUGCUUAACACAUGCAAGUCGAACGAAGUGGCGCACGGGUGUGUAACGCGUAAUCAACAUGCCCUUCAGAGGGGGACAACAGUUGGAAAAGACUGCUAAUACCGCAUACUGACGGCGGGGAUUGCGUCGGAUUAGCGAGUUGGAGGGGUAACGGCCCACGAAGGCGAUGAUCAGUAGCCGGUCUGAGAGGAUGAACGGCCACAUUGGGACUGAGACACGGCCCAGACUCCUACGGGAGGCAGCAGUGGGGAAUCUUCCGCAAUUGACGAAAGUCUGACGGAGCAACGCGGCGUGAGUGAUGACGGCCUUCGGGUUGUAAAGCUCUGUUAAUCGGGACGCGGUACCGGAAUAGAAAGCCACGGCUAACUACGUGCCAGCCGCCGCGGUAAUAC
rnacentral:rRNA from 1 species